AUGCUUUACACAUGCAAGCCGAACGGGGUGAGGGGGCAACUCCUCAUUCAGUGGCGAACGGGUGAGUAAUGCAUCGGAACGUGCCCCGUAGUGGGGGAUAACGCCGCGAAAGCGGCGCUAAUACCGCAUAUGCUCUACGGAGGAAAGUGGGGGACCUGACAGGGCCUCACGCUAUGGGAGCGGCCGAUGUCCGAUUAACUUGUUGGUGGGGUAAUGGUCUUCCUUGGCGACUAUCUGUAGCUGGUCUGAGAGGAUGCAUCGCCUUCCUGGUACUCCGACACGGCUCAUACUUCUUCCGUAGGCAACAAUGCGGAAUCUACCUCAAUGUGCUCCCACCCGAUACACCCCACCUCACCCGCAGCACCAACUUAUACGCGUCGGCAGUCAGUCUACUUUUUCUUACUCCUCUUCAUUCUACCAUAAGCCACACACUUUACCAUAACGGAGUAAGUAUAAAAAUCCUACUACU
rnacentral:rRNA from 1 species